rfam:Glossina morsitans morsitans, isolate Yale, WGS project CCAG01000000 data, contig: ctg10014846
GCUCUUUCUAUGGCAGAACAUAUAUUGAAAUUGUAACGAUGCAGAGAAGACUAGCAAGGUCCUUGUGCACGGACAACAUGUAAAACCAUGAAGCGUUCCACAUCUGU